UUCUACUUACCACAGGGCCUUUGCACACGC
rnacentral:piRNA from 1 species